rnacentral:sRNA from 1 species
GACAGUUGCUGCAGGGCAUCUUUUGAACCAGAGCGACAAGGACUGCGGGCAGGACCGGCGGGCUCCUGGGGUUCAGCCGUGCCGCCUCGUUACGAUGACCAGUGUGGUUAAGACAGUGUAUAGCCUGCAGCCCCCCUCUGCGCUGAGCUGCGGCCAGCCCGCAGAUGAUUCCACUCAGCUGGUACAUAAACCUUGGCAAGAUGGAGCUCUGAAGUGGCCAGGCGCGGUGGCUCACGCCUGUAAUCCCAGCACUUUGGAAGGGCGAGGUGGGCAGAUCACGAGGUCAGGAGAUCGAGACCAUCCUGGCUAACACGAACACCUGAAUGGUAAUCCUGGCACCAGCGGGGACUAGGAGUUGCUGAAAGAACUGGAGCCAGGUCUCAGCUGCUGUGUUAUUCCCUUAGAUGCAGUGCCUCUCAGUUAGUGGGCAGUGACUAGCUCUCUCAGCCAAGUUGGAAGUGUUCAUCUCUUUGAUUUCUAUCUCUGUCCCAGCUUUAUGAUCGUAUGUAACUAGAACAGUUUCACAUUUUUA